rfam:Acidobacteria bacterium 13_1_20CM_3_53_8 13_1_20cm_3_scaffold_900, whole genome shotgun sequence.
CUUAACGAGAGUUUGAUCCUGGCUCAGAAUCAACGCUGGCGGCGUGCCUCAGACAUGCAAGUCGAACGCGAAAGGCCCCUUCGGGGGCUGAGUAGAGUGGCGCACGGGUGAGUAACACGUAGGUAAUCUACCUCUGGGUGGGGAAUAACAGCCGGAAACGGCUGCUAAUACCGCAUAAUGCAGCGGCACCACAUGGUGACAGUUGUUAAAGCGGGGGAACUUUCGAGUCCUCGCGCCUGAAGAGGAGCCUGCGGCAGAUUAGGUUGUUGGUGAGGUAAUGGCUCACCAAGCCUGCGAUCUGUA